CUGAGUUAAUUAAAGUUCUUAUUUGUGUGUUUACAGGAGAGAAACUCAAUUCCUCAGCUCUCCUAUUUCCUUGUGGAGCCCUGAAAAGAGAAGUACUUCCCACAGUGCUGAGAGAAAAAGGCAUACCCCUGGAAAGCCUCACUGUUUAUCAAACAACCCAGCACCCUGAUCUGCAGGAAUCUUUGAGCAGUUACUUCUCCCAGCAGGGGAUCCCUGCGAGCGUCGUGUUCUUCAGCCCAUCCGGUGUCAAAUUCUGCCUCCAGCACAUCCAAAAGCUUUCGGGGGAUGUGAUCAACCAAGUCAAGGUAUCUUCUCUUAAAAAUGGUGGAAUACAAGAGGCAGUAAAUUUGGGGUGGGCAAAUGAGUUAGAAAGGCUGUCACAACCACUGCAAACCUUGAUUUUA